ensembl:lncRNA
AUGGCUGCACCUGGGGCUGUAGCUGGCCUAUGGCUGCCCUCCCUACCCUUUAAAUCAGGUGGAGGAAGUAGGCCUAGCCUUGGGGAAGGUGGAGUUUCAGCUCCUCUGCUUUGCAAAAGUGGUGCAGGCUGCAAAGUAUGUGAAGCUUUCUCAUCAAAUACAGCUGGAAGGGCAGGAAAUGAAAGCAAACAGAAAAAUAGAUGUGAGCAACGUGAAGACAGCCAUGGGGAUAAAAAGGACUAUUUAAGAUGACUCUUGGCUAUAGAGUGGAGCCAGAUGAAAUUAAAUAUCAAAUAAAUAUCAGCGAGAUCUGCUUGAGUGUGGAACAGCCUCCAGGAAGAAGCUGGGAGAGCCUUUGCUUGAGCCACUUCCAACUAGCCUGGACAAGGUGCAGGGAGAAACACUGGAGAACAAUCCUGCAGCUGCCACUGGGCUGCAAUGAUCUCAUAGCUCUUUCCCACCUUUAAUCUCUAUGAUCCUGCAGUUAAUCAUCACAUGUUCAUUGUGAAAUCCUAGUUCAAACCAUUUGUUAAGUCUCUAAGUAGUGGAUUUUUUUAUUUAGAAAAGGACAAGUCUAGGAGUUUUAAUCCAAAAUUAAGCCAGCAGUAGGCUUGGAGCCACGAUUUUGCAGGCAGAGAUUUGAAUCCAAGUCCAACUUUUGUAUCUCUGCAGUGGGCAGGCUGAAAUACCUGCUCACUUGUUUCUCACUUGUGCUGCUGUAGAAGCUUCUGCCAAGAGAUAGAGAGAGUGCAUAAGAGCUUUUUUUGUUUUGCUUUUUCUCUAGGGCAGUGAUCAGCAAUUAGAAAUAGCACUGGAUAUCUUGAAUGGGAGAGUAUGGCUAUUUUCCUCUAUGCUAUUUCUCUCCAGACAUCCUCCCCUAUCGUCCCUGGUUUCUGUACAAGCACCAAGGAUGGGAUUCAGGUGUGAUGAGGAUGGAGGUGGCCAAAAGUGAGCCCAGACUGCCUGCAUGAUACAGCCUCUUUCUUGGAGCUACACAAGUGCUUCCUCCAGUUUGUCAGCUGCAAAACAUUGAGGUAGCACAGGCAGCUGUGAUCCAGAAAUUUGUUUCUGACACUGUAAAUGAUGAUUACAGAUCUGUUAGCAACCCUCCGGCACUACUGUAAGCUUGCACAGCAAUUACUUCUGCAGUUACUUCUACAUCACCCUGCUGGUUGUAAACUUGCAGAACAGUUGCAGAAUAACAUCAAGAUUUUGGGCUGAUGGGCUCCCAAGUGAUGAGCUGUGGCCUGUUGAUCUUAUUCACUUGUGGGGCAGGUGCAAAGUUGAGCAAAUAGCAUAGGUGCUUUCUCUCUCAUUAAGAGCUCAUUCCUGGAUGUUGCAUGCAAAUUGGAGAAUGUGGUGAUGGCAGGAGGGGGAAAAAUGUUCUGUAACUGGGACACAAAUUGACAUUUCCAUGAAAUUUGCUGCCUCUCUCUCCUCUGACUCCGUCCAUGGACAGGUGGUUUCUUAUUAGAUUUUUCCAUUUCUCUUCUUCAUUUCACCUCCAAUUUCACAUCAUGCUUCCUUUGGUUCCCCUUAAGCUAACCUUCUCCCCAGUGGUGUUUUUCCAUACCUAAGAAUCAGUCCCUGUUCCACAGAAGCAGAGUCCUUACUUUAAGCACAUCUUUCUGAAUAUCUUUAUUAACAGUUCCCUUUUUCUUGCUUUGUGCACCAGAUGGUCCUGAUGAAUUGGGUGACUGACUUCCUUUGCAGACUUAUUAUUGCAUACUCCCUACAUGCAUGGAUAAAAUAAGUCAAGUUUUUGCAUCAGACUUGGUUCUUUUUUCCUAUGCUUUCUACAAUGAAUAUGACAGGAUACAGAUUCAGGAAUGCACUAAGGUUUUGAUGACUUUUUCAUCCAGAUUAUGCACAUUAGUAACAAAAGCAGUUCCUGAGUAUGAAUAGAUGAGCUUCUUAUGGGAUUUUUUGCUGCGUCAAGCAUGGGAAGCAGGUGAAGCUGGAGAAACUGGAAGGAAGCAGUUUUGUCUACAAAGACUGUCAUUCUGAGUUUGGUUUGUUUUUUUUUUUUUUCCCCCCCCACCCAGAAACUUCACGAUUAAGUUUUGCAAGUGAAUUUUGUAUAUGAGUUCAUUUUC